rnacentral:lncRNA from 1 species
UUUUCUUUGGACUCAUUCAGCUCUUUGUUUCUCCAAUCAUCACAUGUAAUGGGAAUUUCAUUCCUUACUAGUGCACCGAUAAAACUAGUUAAGGUAUGCCCAUUAGGUUCUAUAAGCUGUCCCUGGUUGCUCCAAUAGACAUCUAGUAUGAUGCCUCGAGAUCUUCCUUGGACCACCCUUCUCAUUACUGUGAUGCCUCUUCG